UACAGAGGUCCCAAGCGUUGUUCGGAUUCACUGGGCGUAAAGGGUGCGUAGGCGGCCGGGUAAGUCUAAUGUGAAAUCCCGCAGCUCAACUGCGGAACUGCAUCGGAUACUCUCCGGCUAGAGGAAUGGAGGGGAGACUGGAAUUCUCGGUGUAGCAGUGAAAUGCGUAGAUAUCGAGAGGAACACCAGUGGCGAAGGCGAGUCUCUGGACAUUUCCUAACGCUGAGGCACGAAAGCCAGGGGAGCAAACGGG
rnacentral:rRNA from 1 species